rnacentral:rRNA from 1 species
UACAGAGGUCUCAAGCGUUGUUCGGAUUCAUUGGGCGUAAAGGGUGCGUAGGUGGCGCCGUAAGUCGGGUGUGAAAUUUCGGAGCUUAACUCCGAAACUGCAUUCGAUACUGCGGUGCUUGUGGACUGGAGAGGAGACUGGAAUUCAUGGUGUAGCAGUGAAAUGCGUAGAGAUCAUGAGGAAGACCAGUGGCGAAGGCGGGUCUCUGGACAGUUCCUGACACUGAGGCACGAAGGCCAGGGGAGCAAACGGG